UCGCAGAUCAGAAUGCUGCGGUGAAUGCGUUCCCGGGUCUUGUACACACCGCCCGUCACACCAC
rnacentral:rRNA from 1 species